rnacentral:rRNA from 1 species
AUUGAACGCUGGCGGCAUGCUUUACACAUGCAAGUCGAACGGCAGCGCGGGCUUCGGCCUGGCGGCGAGUGGCGAACGGGUGAGUAAUGCAUCGGAAUGUGCCCAGUAGUGGGGGAUAGCCCGGCGAAAGCCGGAUUAAUACCGCAUACGACCUGAGGGUGAAAGCGGGGGACCGAAAGGCCUCGCGCUAUUGGAUGGGCCGAUGUCGGAUUAGCUAGUUGGUGGGGUAAAGGCCUACCAAGGCGACGAUCCGUAGCUGGUCUGAGAGGACGACCAGCCACACUGGAACUGAGACACGGCCCAGACUCCUACGGGAGGCAGCAGUGGGGAAUUUUGGACAAUGGGGGCAACCCUGAUCCAGCCAUGCCGCGUGCGGGAAGAAGGCCUUCGGAUUGUAAACCGCUUUUGUUCGGGAAGAAAUCCUCUGGGCUAAUACCCCGGUGGGAUGACGGUACCGGCAGAAUAAGCACCGGCUAACUACGUG